rnacentral:lncRNA from 1 species
CGCGUCGGUCGCCGGCGGAGCCUGCGGGGAAGCUCGGACCCCGAGUGGGCGACUGGGCGGCGUCUCUGGCUCGUUCCCUUAGGCUGCGGCUGGAUCUCGUGCUCGCCAGUAGCCACGGGGAACCGAGUCGCCACCAAGCGUGGCCGAACUCGGGCCGAUUGGCCCCGACUCAUUUGCCCACCGACGUGGCCCCGUUCCUUUCACAGAGGUUAUUCAUCAGGCUGAGCCCAGAACAAGUUGACUGUAGGACAUUGGAAAGCAUCCAUGAGUGUUUGGCAAACAGAAUUGCCUUGAUCCGCUCUUGAACUGGUUGGUGGUUUUCUUUAGAUGGAGGCUGAGCUACACACGUGAGUUAGCCCACCCUUCUCUCCUCAUCUUCAUUGAUGGCUUGGGAGAGUUAAACAGACACUGGAGGAGCCCAUAGGAUUUAUGCAUGCCCUACUUUAUUAAUAAUAUUGGAACGUUGAGAACCUCACUAGAUUUUCCACAUAAUUUCCUAAUGUGGAAAUGCUCUCCAUGCAGCUGUUCUAGUUAGUUUCCAGUAUUAUAAGGUUUCUACCUUAUCAUUUAUGGCUAUUGUUUCCUUGGGAACCUAAUAUUUAUCAAACACAAGAUCCAUUUUGCAUGCUCACCUUUCCUCUUUUCCAAAUAAUCAGUGAACUAAGCUUUAAGCAUCUUACAUUUUUACAGGCUACCAGCCUCUUAACUAAUCCUGCAUUAAACUCGAUUUACUGCUUUAUCUAUACUACUUUAAUCUUUUAGAGGCUUAUCAUAAUAUGGACUGUUUAAUGAAAUACUUUUAUCAUAAGAAUAUUCUAACCUCCAUUUCUCCAGAUUUCUCUACUUCUGUUCAUUUACUUAUUAUAUACCUUUAUUCUUUUUAAAUAUUCAUGUUUUCCAGUUUCAUUUCUUAUCUAGUACAAUGAAAUAAGCCAAAAUGCUUAUCUUGUUACCACAGAAAUGGUUGUGUUACCACAAAAUGUGAAAUCUUCUUGUUACCUAUUAUAUUUAGUUCUCCAAUCUUAGUAAAAUAUAAAUGUUUCUGUUGCUGGAAAACCGUCACAUCCUAAAAUCCUCUCUGUCAUGUUGUAAAGCCACCUUGAAUUCUCAAAUCAUUCCUUUGCAUUUGAAGAGGCAAUAUAGUUAUUAGGCCA